GUGGAGCGACAGCGACAGAGCCUUGGAGAGGGAGGCUCUGCUCAGGAUUUGUCCCCAGUGCCUUAUUUAGUUCACUUGGUGAGGUCAUGUUUUCCUGGAUGGUGUUGAUGCUAGUAGAUGUUCUUCAGUGUCUGGACAUUAAAAUCUUGGGCAUGCAGCACCAUAUGAGAAGUUUAAAAAAUAAAAUUUAAAGAGAGAAAAGUGGUGGGAUUGCUGAAUCAGACAGAGCCAAUAGAUGAUCAGUAAUGGUGGCCAAUCAUCAGCUAGAAAGAAAGUGCUUAGCAGGGCUUGAAAACACCAAAACUCUGAGACCACUGACCUUCAAAAACUUCAACAGCCCUGAGUGAAAAGUCCAAACACAUUUAUCUACCAUUCGAAGACGCUUUAUUGUCUGUCCUCUGCACAUCUCAGUAGUCUCUUUUUACCACACUGUCUAUAUACUGCAUGAGCCAUUUAUAUGAAACUAUCUGACACUCCAAGGCAUCUUGUACUAUAUAUUCAACUAUGUAUCCCUAGUACCUAGCACAGUCCUGGCAUAUAGUUUGCUACUAAACUUUUACAGAAUGAAGGAAUUAUCUUGUAUCCAGGUUCCAAGUUUUAAGGUGAUUCUUCAGUAAAAAAAAGUAUUACAGUUCACAAAUAAUCUACUUCCCUUUUUACAAAUGGGAUCAAUUUUAAUCUUAUCUCCUAAUAACAUUACUUUCAUUUACUCUGAUCUAAAUAUACUGUCCUAAGAGAGCAAUAAGAAAGAGAGUUGAAGCUGGAGUUUGAAGAAUUGUACAUGGUCCUGUGAUACCCUACCUUGUUUUAACCUGAGUGACUCUCUCCUAGCGGAGAGAGAGCCGGACAGACUCCAUUUUAGUUUCUUCACGUGCAGCCCCCUUUACCUUCCACCCUUAAUUGCAUAACUAGUGUAAACUGACUCAAAGCAGGUCCAGGAAUGCACUUAGUGAUAAGAUAUUGAGGCAAGCUGCACCAGCUGCUCCUGGGUACGCACUCGGUGAAUGUCACGCAAAACCCCUGCAUUUCUCUCUUUGUGAUAGUUUAAGCCCCUGCACCUGGAACUGUUUAUUUGUUUUGUAACUGCUAUUGUAACCAAUUAAUAUUUUAACUAUUUGCCAGCUCUGCUUCUGUAAAACUUGUUUCAGCUAAACUCCCCCCUCCCCUAUUUAGACCACGGUAUAAAAACAAAACCAGCCCCUUCCUCGGGGCCAAGAGAAUUUUGAGCAUUACAUGCCUCUCGGUUACCGGCUAAUAAAGGACUCCUUAAUUUGUCUCAAAGUGUGGCAUUCCUCUAUAACUCGCUUGGUUACAACAGUCCACACUGUGGCCUGAGGUGCAUUGCCCACCUGAGCUUCAUCUGUUAUGUAUGUCAGGGAAUAUAAGCAGGGUGAGAGUGGCCUCAUCAGAGGACCCCAGAUCUCUGGCUUACCCAUCUGGCAAGUGCACCUCUGUGAGCAAAGACUUCAGAGCCAGGUGACAAGAAUGGCCCAAGCAGUCCACCAGGAAAACCUGGGCCCAGUGUACGUCAAUGCAGAGCAUCAAGCAUGGUGUAACAGGUGCACAGUUGCCUACUCCUGUUCAGAGAUGACUGCAUCCCACAUACCGUAAAAUGAGGAAAUGCAUAGAAGCAGAUGUAACUGAAGAAGACAGCAGAAGCAACAAGGAGGGACAACCAGGACCUAGGAGGGCACCAUGCCAGAGACGCCUGGACCCCAUGCUAGGCUCAGUGCCUGUUAUACUCUUGGGAGCCAGCACUUUCCCUCUCCAUCACAUGGCAUACUUGCCAUUAUUUGUUGUGUAAAAUAUUGUCCUUAGUUUUCACCUUUCCUAGGAGACACAGGCAGAGCCUGUGACACUACAGCUUCUGGCACACAGUAGGUAGGUGCAUCACAAACAUCUGCUGAGUUCACACACUCUUGCCUUCUCAAAACUUCUUGUCAAGUCUUCAGUGAAAAGGAAUUGCUGAUUGAGCAAGAAUUAAACUUCUAGAGACUCCUGGAUCCACUGAAGUUUGAGACAAGCUCUAGUCAGGAAGUGUUAGAGAGUUCUAAACAGGAAAUAUUCCAACACAUCAUCUAAGCAUGAAGCAGGAGACACCCAUAAUUGAGUUUGCUGCCACCAACCCCAACAGCAAGAAUUCCAGUCCUGCUGCUGCAAAUUCUCUUUUGGAGUCUUUCUUGCAGUUGCGGUUGGUUGGCUGCUGCUGAAGUCACCUGAAAGCUCAAUUAGGCUAAAGAGUCUAAACGGGUCACUUACAUGGCUGGCAGUGCAUAUUGGCUGCUGAGUGUGAUGCCUAUCUGACCUCUCCAUGUUACCUGGAGUGCUCACAACGUGGUAGUUUGUCCCAAGACACACAGGCAAAUACUACAAAGCUUCUUAGGGCCUAGCCUUGGAGGUCCUAGAAUACGACUUCUGCUGCAUCCUAUUGGAAAAGCAAGUCAUUGUGACCAGCACAGAUUCAAGAAAUGGGAGAUUCGACUCUACCUGUCAAUGUAAACAGCAGCAUGUGCAUGCAGGGAGGAAAGAAAUUGAGGGCAUCAUCUUGAAGACUAUCAUAUCACACCAUUAUUCCAACUAGUGAACAUUAUGUUUUAGAUGGGUAGUACUAGCUACUCAUCUGUCCCCCAGAAACCCAAGCUAAGCAUGGACAUAUUGAAGAGAAUGUCAACACCAUUAAAAAAACUCUAGAAAAAUCACAUGUGAUGACUGAGGUUAAUUCAGUCUGUCAACUACAUCAAUAUAAUUGCCUUCUUGUAACCCUAAGUAUGGUGAAGCAGAAUUGAAUUCUACAAAAGUCUUUCAUCUGUUUUCCUAUGGAAUAAUUAACAAACCCAAUAAAUGUAUAAAUAGCA
rnacentral:lncRNA from 1 species